UUAUUUGUAGAGGGCGUUUCGGGCGCGGCGCCGGUCUAAGUCCCUUGGAACAGGGCGUCGCAGAGGGUGAGAAUCCCGUAUGUGACCGGCGACCAAGUCCGUGUGAAACCCCUUCGACGAGUCGAGUUGUUUGGGAAUGCAGCUCUAAAUGGGUGGUAAAUUUCAUCUAAAGCUAAAUACCGGCCAGAGACCGAUAGCGCACAAGUAGAGUGAUCGAAAGAUGAAAAGCACUUUGGAAAGAGAGUCAAACAGUACGUGAAAUUGUUGAAAGGGAAGCGUUGGCGACCAGACCUGCCCGUGAGCGAUCAACCGUUGUUCUCAGCGGUGCACUCGUUCACGAUCAGGCCAGCAUCGGUUUGGGCGGUCGGACAAAGGCUGCGAGAAUGUGGCUCCCCUCGGGGAGUGUUAUAGCUCGCGGUGCAAUGCGGCCCGCCCGGACCGAGGACCGCGCUUCGGCUAGGAUGCUGGCGUAAUGGCCGUCAACGACCCGUCUUGAAACACGGACCAAGGAGUCUAACAUCUAUGCAAGUGUUUGGGCGUGAACCCCAUACGCGCAAUGAAAGUGAACGGAGGUGAGAACCCUUCAGGGCGCAUCAUCGACCGAUCCAGAUGUUCUCGGAUGGAUUUGAGUACGAGCAUAGCUGUUGGGACCCGAAAGAUGGUGAACUAUGCCUGAAUAGGGUGAAGCCAGAGGAAA
rnacentral:rRNA from 1 species